rnacentral:rRNA from 1 species
UACGUAGGGGGCUAGCGUUGUCCGGAAUCAUUGGGCGUAAAGCGCGUGUAGGCGGUCCGGUAAGUCCGCUGUGAAAGUCGGGGGCUCAACCCUCGGAUGCCGGUGGAUGCUGUCGGGCUUGAGUACGGAAGAGGCGAGUGGAAUUCCUGGUGUAGCGGUGAAAUGCGCAGAUAUCCGGAGGAACACCAGUGGCGAAAGCGGCCACCUGGACUGCACCUGACGCUGACACGCGGAAGCUAGGGGAGCGAACGGG